rnacentral:lncRNA from 1 species
UCUAAAUGAGUUUAGCUUCACUAUAUAACGAGUCAGAACCACAAUAAAACCUUAAAGUUGCAACAAACACAUAUUUGUCUGUAUUACGAGCAUUCCUGCCCUUAACGUUGAUAGUCAAGUAACACAAUUAGAAACAUAUCCAUAAAUAAUUAGACAAUACUCCUAAUAAGCAACUGUACGGAAAAAUGCAAAUGUAAACAGGAUAAUUGUGUUGAGAACAGUACAGUUCAAAUAAGGGCAAGUUUUCAAGCAAAUGAAAACAUUCUCGGUUCCAGUUGUGCCCAAUUGUUCUGCUAAAUGGAGAAACCACGCCCAUCCUUAGGUUCCAGGAUCCGGGAGGCAAGCCUGGCCGUGAAUCCAUGUUUACAUAUUAAGUCAUGAUCUCCACAACAGAGGAAAAAUAAAUUCCCACAGCUUAUAAAUGCAACUUCUCUAAUCUCUGUACAUGACUCUGGCCUUUAUUUCUGAUAAGGAUAUCUUUGCUGGUCCAUAUUCAAAAUGAUCCACCUAAUUCCUUAACUUGACUGCUAUGCCUUAGAGAAGAGGAUCCUGCAUCUGAAGAUUUCCAGGUACACUCUUGAAUAGUAAUCCUCCAAAGGGGAAUAAAGAGGUGCAAAGAGAGAGGAAGGAGAACAUUAAAGAGUACAGUUGUACUAGAAUCAUCGAUGAAAUAAGCAAAGGACAGGCCAGAUAACCAUGAUAUCUAGCACUACAACGAUUCAACCCCAUGACGGACAUAGUACCAUCCCUGUCUAAAAGGCAGUGGCAUAUUCACAUACAGUGAACGGUGCUCAAUUGAACACCCUUCAUCGAAAAAUUAUACAAUGUUUGUAGAAAAUUAUGCUGCACAUAUAGGUCAAAAAUUACUUUUUAUAUAUGUAUGUUAAUCCCGUAGAGAAAUUUCUGGCUUUGCCACAGCUAAAGAGGCAGAGUGAAAGGCAAAGCAUUUAGUCUUUAAAAGAGAGCAUAAACAACAACUCAAUGUACUAAGCUCUCACUAUGCACGGUGUCAGGGGAAGGGGCAGGCCUCAAGGGUUUAUUGUAUGCAGCCUUACCCUGCAUUUCUAAAAGAAGUUGUUUCCACGCUCGAACCCGUGACCUCCUGGUCACAUGGCAACAAUUUUACCAGUUACGUCAAGGCUCUCCUUCCUUCAAAAGAGAACAUAUGAGUAUAAUUAUUAGGAUCUUGAAAAAUUAAAUAAACAGUAAAGGAUGCACAGCUAGACACAAAGUUUAAGCCUAAACUCAAUGCAAGCAACAAACCUGGGAAAGCUAACAAUUCAUAUUGCGGUUUCUACCUCUUAUUCUCACCGAAAUGUUGCAAAAUCCAAAGAAAAAUACUAAGAGAUAUUUGAUAUUUAACACCAUUUAUCUUUGGGGAAAAUAAGAUAGUAAACAGAUAAGGACAUAUAGGAGUAGAGGCUGCUCCUUGGGUUAGCUUAUCCAAUGUUGAUGACACUGCUUUGAGGAUUUCUUGUAUGCAAAGGUGGAGGCAAAAUUUCAAGAUUAUGUGUUCGGAAUUCUAAUCAUUUUAAGUCAAUGGAUUCUAAAUUAAUAAUUCCUAGAUAUUUAGUAAAUUUUUAAAGCAUAUAUAGAGUUUGAGCCAAAGCUACUAAGUUUGUCCGAACCCGUUCUUGGCACUCUAGCUCCGCCCAUGCUUAUAUGCAGCUAAGUAACUGGUCCAUUAGCUCACUGUUAAACAAGCAGGUAAAAACUAAAAAUACAACUGUUAUCAAUAUGUUUCUUGCAAAAAUUGAACAGAUAAGAGAAUUGUAUAACUCAGUGGCAAUACACCACUGUGAAAUGUCGUCGCAAGAGAGCAUGUAUUCGGAGAUCACCAGAUUUCAGCAAGAAGAGUGAAUAGGGAACAAAGCAGCUCUAUUACGUAUAAAUCCACUGCUUCAUCUUCUGAAAGUGUUUAAGUAAUGCUCAGACCAACGUCAAUCAGUACCCAGAGAAAAAGAAAAUUUGGUAGUAACUAACUUCACUUAAGGUGAAUGCAGAACAUCAGCCUAUAAGUUCAAAGAAGCGCAUAUUCCACGGCGCCCUGGGAUCCAAACAUAUAAGCUAACUUUUCCCUUAUAUAAUAGUUUUUGGCAGUAUGAUUUAACCUAGAGCAAACUCUCUUUCUCCUCAUACAUCUCCUAAUCCUAUAGACACAUACUAAACUCUCAGGUCAUCGCCAAGAGGGACAGUGUCCAAUAUCUUGGGUCUGUGAUUCAGGGGGACGGAAAGAUUGACGGGGACAUCACUCAUCGUAUAGGAGCGGGGUGGUCAAAGUGGAGGCUUGCAUCAGGAGUCCUGUGUGACAAGAUAGUUCCACAUAAACUCAAGGGGAAAUUCUAUAGAGUCGUGGUUAGACCUGUGAUGUUGUACGGGGCGGAGUGCUGGCCCGUAAAGAACUCUCAUGUUCAGAGAAUGAAGGUUGCGGAGAUGAGGN